CACAGCUGGUAUCCGCAUCCCUCUCAUCAGUUUUUUUGCAUUUGUCUGCUAGGUAGCAGGGCAGGUCUCUUAGCAGGGCUUUUGAUUCCCUUGUGCAUUUUAAUUCUUGCCUUGUUGUUCUGCUGCUGCUGUUGUGGGCGGCCCGUCGAAGGGAAGGAAGGAGUAGCGGUUGGAGAUGGCAGUCCUGCGGUUCGCAUGAAGCAUCAUGUUUAUACUGUGCUGGCCAACAUGGGUUCGGCAAUGCCGUGCAUUACUCUUUGGUCGUCUGGUUUGCCUAGGGUUACAGUCUCUCAUCAUGAUCCUGAGCUCACAUUUAACCACAGCUUCAUUGAGCAGCCAUCGUCCAGCUGGGUGACUGAUUCAUUUGAAACUGAUGAUGAAGGAGAGGCCAUCUACUGUGAACCACCCA